GACAGUGCAGCUGCCGGGGAGCAGCACGGCCGGCUGAGGCAAGAAAACCUCCAGCUGGUGCACAGAGCCAAUGCCUUGGAAGAGCAGCUGAAGGAGCAGGAGUUCAGAGCCCAAGAGAAGGUUCUAGAAGAAACCAGGAAGCAGAAGGAGCUCCUGUGCAAGAUGGAGCGGGAGAAGAGCAUCGAGAUCGAGAACCUGCAGGCCAGGUUGCAGCAGCUGGAUGAGGAGAACAGUGAGCUGCGGUCCUGCACACCUUGUCUGAAGGCCAACAUCGAGCGCCUUGAGGAGGAGAAGCAGAAGAUGCUGGAUGAGAUUGAAGAGUUGACACAGCGGCUCAGUGAAGAACAGGAGAAUAAGAGGAAAAUGGGGGACAAGCUAAGCCAUGAGCGGCACCAAUUCCAGAGAGACAAGGAAGCAACUCAGGAGCUCAUCGAGGACCUCCGCAAGCAGCUAGAACACCUGCAGCUCCUCAGACUGGAGAUGGAGCAGCGACGGGGCCGCAGCAGCAGCCUCGGCCUGCAGGAGUACAACAGCCGUGCACGGGAGAGUGAGCUGGAGCAGGAGGUCCGCAGACUCAAACAGGACAACCGUAACCUGAAGGAGCAAAAUGAUGAGCUAAAUGGACAGAUCAUCACCCUCAGCAUCCAGGGUGCCAAGAGCCUCUUCUCCACGUCCUUCUCAGAAUCCCUGGCUGCAGAGAUCAGCUCUGUCUCCCGAGAUGAGCUCAUGGAAGCAAUCCAGAAGCAGGAAGAGAUCAAUUUCCGCCUGCAGGACUACAUUGACAGGAUUAUCGUGGCCAUCCUGGAGACCAACCCAUCCAUCCUAGAGGUCAAGUAGUACAUCUUCGCCCAGUUUGGCCUGGUUGGUUAUAGACCCCACAGCACCCAAGAGUGGCCCUGUCUUGCCACAAAGAGCCACGACCAGCAGGUCCUGCAGCUUACCAAGCCUAGAGUGUGUGGGGCCCUCGUGCAGCUGGACUGGGAGAAUAAAGAAAGGCCACAGAGGCGGUAAGAAGCAAGAAAGGAAAGUCCACAGCAGAUGAAGAGUGGAGCUGGCUCUCUGAACAUCAGGAAGCCAGGGCCUCCCACCACAAGCCAACCUGACCAACAACACCCAUGUCUGCUCAGCAGUAUGCAAAUAUGUGGGGAUAGUCUGCAGGCUGGAACAGGCCCCUUGCUGAGUCUCUGGCCCACCCCUCUUUCUGCUAUGCACCCUGUUAGGAAGAGAGAGGGAAAUGAGUCCUCACCUCAGUCGCUGCCUCUCACUCCUGUUGACAUGGUGCCACCCAAGCUUGGCCAUUCCCACAUGGUCUUCAAGCUGAGGACCCAAAGAUGGACAUAGAAAUGGUAGUGCUGGAAAGACAGACAGGCAAAAAUGGCACAUGUGGUGUCUGGUCCAGAUCCAUAGGCCACCAAUUCUCCUUAACGCUGCUCAGGCCGUCUCUCACCAGAUGGGCUUCCAUUCACUUUUGGACCCAGGGCCUCCAAGCCACACAGCUAUUCUUUGGCCAGGCCCUCACUACAGUAACUCAUCAGCUCUGGUCCUCUUGUAGGGGCUGGAGCAGCUAGUUCAUGCUGACUAGAACUCACUUCCUGGACUGGUGAACACUGUCAGCCUCUCUGACCCCGGUGCAGGUGCUGCUUCUCCUCAGGUGUGGUCUGUCUUGGUUCCUAGGCCCACACCCUCCUCAGGCUGAUUUUACUGCCUUUGGAGAAGUCUAUAUUUCCCAGACAAUAGUCUAGGCCUCUGGAACAGUUUCCUUCUCUGCUUUUGACUUUAAAUCCCUGGGCGUCCCCCAGGAGUCCUGUUGCUAGUGGAUGGGUGGAGGAGGCUCUGCACUGGCCCAGAGGCAGAGGAAGGCUUGCGCCUGCCCUUGCACCACCCACAGAGCUGCAGCACCCAUAGCAGCUGGACCUGAGCCUGAGCACUGUCUGGAGUCUGGGCACAGUGUCUGAGACCACACCAUAGGCUGUGUGAGUGUGAGUGGGUGUGGGUGUGCAUGCAUGCGUGCGUGCGCAAGUGUGUGCGCAGGCAUGAGUGUGCACACAAGUGUGAGUGUAUGAAUGCUUGUGCCCACACAUGCUGCCCUGCAUCCCUUCACUGCCUAUCACCCCCGCCCCCACCUCCCUUCUACACUACGGUUUAAGACGUUGCCUCGUAUUGUACAUUUUGGGGAAAGCCUUGUGUGUAAAUCAGUGUAAACUUGGAGGAGAGAUUUUUCUAUCAUGUAGAGUAGGUAUUUUUUAUAGAUUGAAGGUUGAUCAAUUUUUUUAAUACUUUCCAGAGAGAAAACUAUCUGUGUAUACAUAUGAAAUAUAUAUAUAUAUAUAUGUAUAAUAUAUCAAUACUGGAGCCCUGCCUUUCUGUGCCCAGCUCCAAGCCCUGUGUGUAAGGACUUGCAGCCUGUCUCUGCUGUCCGCCCUGCAGUGCUCACUUUAAACACAGGUCUCCAGGAGACACUGGGAAACACACCAAUUACCAACUUGCUCAUGGCAUCUGCUUCAGCUCCCUGAGAAGUAGCUCUUCCUCUGGGGCAUGGAAGGAUGGGAGGCCAACAGGAUCCUGUCCCAUGUGUCAGCCACCACAGAUUAAAGCUGUUACCGCACAC
rnacentral:lncRNA from 1 species